rnacentral:lncRNA from 12 species
CCCCCCCCCCCCCCCCCCCCCCCCCCCCCCCCCCCCUGUUUUUUGGGAGGUCCAGGUGUCCUUGAGGAGGGGAUCCAGGUGUGACGUCACCGAUCCUCUCAGGUGUGACAUCAUCGAUCCCAGGUGUGACGUCACCGAUCUCAGGUGUGACGUCACCGAUCCUCUCAGGUGUGACGCCACCGAUCCCACGUGUGACGUCACAAAUCCAGGUGUGAUGUCGCCCAUCCCAGGUAUGAUGUCACCUGUCCCAGGUGUGACGUCACCAAUCCCAGGUGGCUCCGUGCCCUCCAGAUGCCUUCACAUGUCCAGGUGUUGCAUCACCUGUGCCCAGGUGUGACGUCACCUGUCCUGGUGUGACAUUAGGUGUGUCCCUCUCUGUACAGGUGUGUCCCAGGUGUGUCCCUCUCUGUACAGGUGUGUCCCAGGUGUGUCCCUCUCUGUACAGGUGUGUCCCAGGUGUGUCCCUCUCUGUACAGGUGUGUCCCAGGUGUGUCCCUCUCUGUACAGGUGUGUCCCAGGUGUGUCCCUCUCUGUACAGGUGUGUCCCAGGUGUGUCCCAGGUGUGUCCCAGGUGUGUCCCAGGUGUGUCCCAGGUGUGUCCCUCUCUGUACAGGUGUGUCCCAGGUGUGUCCCCGCUGUGUCACUGCACACCUGUCCCCGCACAGGCCCCCCCCCCCCCCCCCCCCCCCCCCCCCCCCCCCCCCCCCCCCCCCCCCCCCCCCCCCCCCCCCCCCCCCCCCCCCCCCCCCCCC